rnacentral:lncRNA from 1 species
UACGAAAGAGCUGGGGCAGAAACUAUCUUUUAAAAGGAGACGAACGAACAGUGGAAUGGCCAGGAGGUAAGAGGCAGGAAGUCAGAGCAGAAAACAGGGAGAACAAAGGACAGAGAGAAGUCACGACGGGCAGUUAGGUCUGCAGCAGUGUAGAAUUCAGAGUCUUCCCACUUUACAAGGCGAAAGAAGAGAAGUGGAUAUAAGAAU